rnacentral:rRNA from 1 species
UACGUAGGGCGCGAGCGUUGUCCGGAAUUAUUGGGCGUAAAGAGCUCGUAGGCGGCCUGUUGCGUCUGCUGUGAAAUCCCGGGGCUCAACCCCGGGCGUGCAGUGGAUACGGGCGGGCUAGAGGCAGGCAGGGGAGAACGGAAUUCCCGGUGUAGCGGGAAAUGCGCAGAUAUCGGGAGGAACACCGGUGGCGAAGGCGGUUCUCUGGACCACAACCGACGCUGAGGCGCGAAAGCUAGGGGAGCAAACAGG